GGCCUACCAUGGUGGUAACGGGUAACGGGGUGUUAAGGCACGACACCGGAGAGGGAGCCUGAGAAACGGCUACCACAUCCAAGGAUGGCAGCAGGCGCGCAAAUUACCCAAUCCCGGCACGGGGAGGUAGUGACAAUAAAUAACAAUACGGGGUUCUUUCGGAUCUCGUAAUUGGAAUGAGUACAAUUUAAAUCUCUUAACGAGGAACAAUUGGAGGGCAAGUCUGGUGCCAGCAGCCGCGGUAAUUCCAGCUCCAAUAGCGUAUAUUAAAGUUGUUGCAGUUAAAAAGCUCGUAGUUGAAUUUCGGGGUUAGCAGGUCGGUCGUGCCAUCGGUAUGAACUGGUCUCGCUGAUCCCUCCCUCUUGACGAACUGUGAUGCCAUUAAUUUGGUGUCGCAGGGAAUCAGGACCGUUACUUUGAAAAAAUUAGAGUGUUUAAAGCAGGCUCACGCUUGAAUACAUUAGCAUGGAAUAAUGAAAUAGGACGUUUGAUCCUAUUUUGUUGGUUUCUAGGAUUGACGUAAUGAUUAAUAGGGAUAGUUGGGGGCAUUAGUAUUCAAUUGUCAGAGGUGAAAUUCUUGGAUUUAUUGAAGACUAACUACUGCGAAAGCAUUUGCCAAGGAUGUUUUCAUUAAUCAAGAACGAAAGUUAGGGGAUCGAAGACGAUCAGAUACCGUCGUAGUCUUAACCAUAAACUAUGCCGACUAGGGAUCGGAUGAUGUUAAUUUUUUAAUGACUCAUUCGGCGCCUUACGGGAAACCAAAGUGUUUGGGUUC
rnacentral:rRNA from 1 species